rnacentral:lncRNA from 1 species
AAUAAACAGCUGCGCCAUGAGCGCAUGAUACGCCCGACAUCUUGUGUGAAAGUUUUAUGCAAAAAUCAUAAAUAGUUUCUGAGGAAGUUUUAAGCAAUAACCAUUUAUUGUUUUUGAGACAUGGCGGGACAUGUGAAACCCCCCCACCCUGUUUUUUUUUUACAAAUAUCACUAAAAUAAAUUUUGAAUCAAACCAAAAAGUAUACAGAUCUUUAAAUUAGUAUAACAAAGAAGUGUGUACAGUUUCAAGCAAUAAUCAUAAAUUGUUUUUGAGAUACGGCGCGACAUGUAAAAAAAAACCCUCCCCUUUUUUACAAAAUACUCAAUAACUCAAAAAUAAAAUUUUGAGUCAUCACCAAAAAGUAUACAGAUCUUUAGAUUAAUAUAACAAAGAAGUGUGUAAAGUUUUAAGCAAUAAUCAUAAAUCGUUUUUGAGAUACGGCGCGACAUGUAAAAAAAAACCUCCCCCUUUUUUACAAAAUACUCAAAAAUGAAAUUUUGAAUCAUCACCAAAAAG